GGAUCACAGCUCAGUGGUAGAGCAUCUGCCUUGCAUGCAGAAUGUCUUGGGUUCAAUCGCUGAUAUCUCCA